GGCUCAGGAUGAACGCUGGCGGCGUGCCUAAUACAUGCAAGUCGAGCGAAUGGAUUAAGAGCUUGCUCUUAUGAAGUUAGCGGCGGACGGGUGAGUAACACGUGGGUAACCUGCCCAUAAGACUGGGAUAACUCCGGGAAACCGGGGCUAAUACCGGAUAACAUUUUGAACCGCAUGGUUCGAAAUUGAAAGGCGGCUUCGGCUGUCACUUAUGGAUGGACCCGCGUCGCAUUAGCUAGUUGGUGAGGUAACGGCUCACCAAGGCAACGAUGCGUAGCCGACCUGAGAGGGUGAUCGGCCACACUGGGACUGAGACACGGCCCAGACUCCUACGGGAGGCAGCAGUAGGGAAUCUUCCGCAAUGGACGAAAGUCUGACGGAGCAACGCCGCGUGAGUGAUGAAGGCUUUCGGGUCGUAAAACUCUGUUGUUAGGGAAGAACAAGUGCUAGUUGAAUAAGCUGGCACCUUGACGGUACCUAACCAGAAAGCCACGGCUAACUACGUGCCAGCAGCCGCGGUAAUACGUAGGUGGCAAGCGUUAUCCGGAAUUAUUGGGCGUAAAGCGCGCGCAGGUGGUUUCUUAAGUCUGAUGUGAAAGCCCACGGCUCAACCGUGGAGGGUCAUUGGAAACUGGGAGAC
rnacentral:rRNA from 1 species